rnacentral:tRNA from 1 species
GGAGGAUUGGCCGAGUGGUAAGGCAGCGGCUUGCACUGUGCUCAUUCAAAGCGAGUCGUCGUCGGGGUGGAAGCCCCGCGCGCGUUCGAUCCGCGCAUCCUCCG